UUCCCACCCCCCCCCGGGCGCGCUUUGGAACGAAAGGGACAGCCCAACAGGCCAGUGAGGAAGGGGGCAAGGGAGGGCGCUACCAAUUAGAGGGUGGGGGGGAGGAAGAUGAAGAGGCAGGCGCGCGCCCUGCGCUACUACGGAUCCUCUUUAUCAUGCAGCAAAGAAAGUGGUUGGUUUUGCGGAGAGGCAGGCUGGGGAGGUGGAGGUGGAGGUGGAGGUCCUGAAGUGGGGGAAAGUUCGGUCUUCGGCGCGCGAGGGCGGGGUCCGGACCGGAAUGGACUCUUCGCCCUCCCCUUUGCGAGCAUCUUUCAGAGGAGGAGCCGGGGAAGACCUCGUGCUUUUUGGGAAGGGGAAUGUUGGCUGGCGCUUUCUCUCUGAUAAGUUAGCUUGUUUUCAGAUCCAAGAUGACGUCGUCGUUUAAAGGAGGUGCUUUCUUUCUUUCUUUUAGAUAUAUAUUUUUUACGUGACUCGUUUUUUAAAAAAGCUUUGGAUAUGGAAAACUUUGACAGCCGUUCAGUGGCUUGCGCUACUCAGAGUAGACCCAAUGAAGUUAAUAGGCACGACUGACUUGGUUUUAAUAGGCCUUGUCUAGGUAGGACAUCAUUGAACGCAACCCUUUAAUUUGUACCUGCGCAAAAGAGAUGCCAUGGAAAAAACAUUCAGACAUUCCUUGGCGAUUUUUAAUUAAAUUGCCGGCUUAGGAUCCCUUUGACAUUCCCCUGGGCAUAAUAAGGCUGGUCACUAUGAGAAAAGAAUGGCGGGCUGCUUGGGGCUUGGGCUUAAUCCAGCAGGCUCUUCCUAGGAUUAAGAAAAGAAGUGGUGCAGAAUUAAAACUGCUAGUACAGUUGCAAAGCUAAGCAGGGUCUGGUAUGGUUUCAAAUUGGAUGGGAGACCAAGGGCCCCGCAGGGGGUUGGACUAGAUGACUUUCAGGAUCCCUUCCAACUCUACUGUUUUAUUAUUCUGAAUUCUUCAGGUGAAGAUCUCUUUAAUGCAUCUGACUGCAGACGAGGAGAAGCCUGACUUCUUGAAUGUCUGCACUAGCGGUGAGAAACCUGUGGCCAUCUGUGGUGGUUUUUUGGGGGAUGCCAUAUGCCAUCAGCGCCAACCAGCAAGCCCAGUGGUCAGGGAUGAUGGGUAAAGGAGCGUCUCCACCCCCAUCGUUCAGCCCAGACACUGAGAUCCAGAGCCGAGGAUAAACAACUACCUGACAUUCAGAAGACAUCUUAAGGCAGCCCUGUUCAGGGAAGUUUUUAAUAUUUAACGCUGUACUGUUUUUAACACUUGAUUGGGAGCCGUCCAGAGUGGCUGGGGAAACUUAGCCAGAUGGGCGGGGUAUAAAUAAAUUAUUAUUAUUAUUA